rnacentral:lncRNA from 1 species
CAUUUUCCUAGUGGAUUUGCUCAUGGAUGGAUGCCUCCCUCCAGCAGUCUGGAUGGGAUGCCAGCAGGGUCCAGCUUCACAAAGGUGGAACUACAGCGCAGCUCUGUGGUGUCAAGUUUGCCCACAGAUGAGGGCCUGCUUUCUGCAAGUGAUCUCUGCUGGUCAUUCCUAGAACUCUCCCGCGCCGUGACCUUCAGGAAGGCACACAGAAAAAUAAUGAAUACCACUUUCCCUGGAGUGAUUGUCUGGCAGCAAUGGAGGAUGGAGCAAAUGACUUGCUGCUGGAGUUUCAGAGUGGAAAGGAAACACCACAUCAUGAAAUACUCAUGGGACUCUAAGUGGAAAGGGUCUCUUACUCCACACUUGAUUGCCAAUUGAGAACAUUCCUUCUGCUCGGAGAAAUCUGCAUGAUCAAGCCAGAGUUCACGAUCUUUUCAGGCUGUAAAUGUAUUGGGUUGGCCAAAAAGUUCAUACAGAAAUGGAGUCACUUUUUUUUUUUUUAAUGUCUUCUCUUGACUGCAGUCUUCAUGCUAAACAUUUGGUUCCUUCCUUUUUAUCUCUUUGAAAAAAAUAGAGCAACAUACCUGAAGAUUCUCUGAUUUUAAUUAUCCAGGAAAAAAAUAUUGGGUAUUGACUGUAACUCAACCACAUUAUUUUUUCUUUAGUGUUCAUAGACACCUAAGGGAGUAGGUAUUAUCAUCAGCUUGGAAAUAAGGGACCUGGUGCUUAAAGAAUUUGUGUAUCCAAAGUCACACAGGAAUGGAUGCGUCUGUCAACUUGAAAGUACAUUAUCUUUUCCCUGCGCUGUGCUCCUAAACACUGUAGAGAGACAAGCAGCUGACAGUGUUACUGUAGGGAAAUUUAUGACGACAUAGAGAUGUUAUACUAAGCUGCUAAGCUCUUAGAGUUACCAGGCCUGGGUGAUACUUUCUCAGUCUCUCUUCCAGAGUCUCACAGGGACUUAAUGUCCUACUGCUCUCUUUGUUUUUUAUUCCUGAGAGUAUUUUCACGACCUCAUUUCAAAAGGGGGAGAACAGAGUAUAGAGAAGUUUAGAAUUUAAUAACCUAACAAGGGUCUUAGAGGGAUUUCUGGAAAAUGCAUCUAGUUGUUUUAAUCAGUGAUAACUAAGGUGUCAAGAUUAUGAAAAAAAAUUUCUAAUUCUCAAGCAGGGAUUCUAGACAAAAGGAUUCUAAUUCUGCAGUUAGGGGUUAAGCUAUGGGCUUUUACUACCACUAGAGUCCAUUAAUAAAGAUGGAAAAGAACCAUAAUUUCA